AGUGAACGCUGGCGGUAGGCCUAACACAUGCAAGUCGAACGGCAGCACAGGAGAGCUUGCUCUCUGGGUGGCGAGUGGCGGACGGGUGAGGAAUACAUCGGAAUCUACUUUUUCGUGGGGAUAACGUAGGGAAACUUACGCUAAUACCGCAUACGACCUACGGGUGAAAGCAGGGGACCUUCGGGCCUUGCGCGAAUGAAUGAGCCGAUGUCGGAUUAGCUAGUUGGCGGGGUAAAGGCCCACCAAGGCGACGAUCCGUAGCUGGUCUGAGAGGAUGAUCAGCCACACUGGAACUGAGACACGGUCCAGACUCCUACGGGAGGCAGCAGUGGGGAAUAUUGGACAAUGGGCGCAAGCCUGAUCCAGCCAUACCGCGUGGGUGAAGAAGGCCUUCGGGUUGUAAAGCCCUUUUGUUGGGAAAGAAGUCCAGCUGGCUAAUACCCGGUUGGGAUGACGGUACCCAAAGAAUAAGCACCGGCUAACUUCGUGCCAGCCGCCGCGGUAA
rnacentral:rRNA from 1 species